AACGAACGCUGGCGGCAGGCCUAACACAUGCAAGUCGAGCGAGGACUUCGGUCCUAGCGGCGGACGGGUGAGUAACGCGUGGGAAGGUGCCCUUUGCUACGGAAUAGCCCCGGGAAACUGGGAGUAAUACCGUAUGCGUCCUUCGGGGGAAAGAUUUAUCGGCAAAGGAUCGGCUCGCGUUGGAUUAGGUAGUUGGUGGGGUAAUGGCCUACCAAGUCGACGAUCCAUAGCUGGUUUGAGAGGAUGAUCAGCCACACCGGGACUGGGUCACCGCCCAGACACGUGCGGGAGGCAGCAGUGGGUAAUCUUAGACAAUAGGGGAAACCCUGAUCUAGCCAUGCCGCGUGGGCGAUGAAGGCCUUAGGGUUGUAAAGCUCUUUCAGUGGGGGAGAUAAUGACGGUACCCACAGAGGAAGCCCCGGCUAACUCCGUGCUAGCAGCCGCCGUAAAAC
rnacentral:rRNA from 1 species